GAUUCUUGAGUGUGGAAUGAAGAUCACCCAUAACAAGAGUUCGCAGUUCUACACGGUGCUCGGAGACACCGAGAGCCUGCUGAACGCCGCGCACGAAGGACUGGUGUGCCUCAAUCGGACAGGAGUAAUGGACAUGUCGUUGGAGACACUUGACGAUAUGGUUGCUUUCGCAAGGCGAUUCUGGCUGAGCUUUGGUUGAACAGGAAAUGAAUGCCGUUUAUCACCAUGGCUCUGGAGUUGAAAAUUAUUUCUUAUUCGCAAGGACACCGGGGGAUAACAAGACGCGACAUUCGGUAACUGUUCACAAACCGA